rnacentral:lncRNA from 1 species
CAGGCACCGGGACACGGAAUUUCAAAGCUCUCCCUUGUCUCCGUGUGACCAGAACUGUAAACUGGACUUCUGCAAGAUAACCAUAUUUCACAGCAUUCAACCAACAGCGAGGUGGUCAGGAGAUUCCUAGGCAUAUCUACAAUAUGUGUCUUCCUCUUCAUACUGAAUUUAAUCUGCACGACUUUAAGCUAGUAUGAUCUAAACUGGAAUAUUGGAGAAGGAGAAAAUCUGUUACACGGACACUCUAACAGAUAACUGAGAAUGAUCUUGACCUUCUUCACCACCCAGCAAACUUAAAGGGGAACA